rnacentral:lncRNA from 1 species
CAACUCCAGGCCAAGGGUUCCAAAUGAUGGUGUUUAUUAGACCUUUAUUCCUUUCUAGGCGCCUCUCCCAUAGAUUCUUCCAGAAUCGAAAUGUAGAAAAGUAAGCCUUGGGAAGGGCCUCGAGGGGCCUCCAGGGUCAAGUUCCAUCUCGCCCCAAGUGUCCCGUGUUGACCCUGGUUCAGUCCUUGGUGGCCACGGAGUAUCUCCUCCGUGCCCGGGAAUGGCCACAUUCCGUGGCAGAGUACAAAACUGUUGAAGACAUGGGCUCUGCCCUCAAAUAGCUCAAAGACAUGAAAAGAAAAAGACAAAUUAGAACUUCAUGAGUGAAUGCAAACCAAUGAAAUUAUGGCUCUCGCUAAGGCAAUGCCGCUGAGAGCCCAUGAAUGCUGCACUCUGGAGGGGCUAUGAGAUCAUACAAGGGCGAUGCCAGUUUCUGUCAUCCACUGGCCAAGAGAACUGCAAAACAUGGUGUGGACUUUGAGCAAGGAUUCGGGCUGGGCCCAGGGGGGUCAGCCUCUUGCCCAUCUGCUGAUUUGGUGGGCUGGCAACGUCCCAGGGAGAGGGCGUUGUACGGGGGAGAGCGCGUUGGGAAGGUGUCUUCGCAUAGACGCCGGGAGCUGAGCUGAGCGGCCGUGGAGGAAGACAGCAUGAUCCCUCUCCCUGGCCCAGCCCCUGGCCCAUGUCGUGUGGCCCAUGUCGUGCAGCUGUUUUCACAGGGGCUGUUUGGGAGCCCAGUUGACACAGUGGCCCGCAGAGUGGAGGAAGCAUGCAUUUCUCCCCUGCCUGGGUCCCACAAGAAUGCGGAGUCAUCAGGAUGGGUGUCCAUGAGCAGCGUGCAAGGGUGAGGGAAAGCUGAUGCCAGAGUGGGGGUGUAAUUCCCAGUGGAGAUGGAGGGCGAGAGCUGAUGCCCCCGUGGUCAUGGGCGAUUGUUUUCAAGUGGCAAGAGGAUAGACUUCUGGAGAAUCUGCACGAGGCCUUUCUUGUGGAUUCCCGGAAAUACACUUCCUGGGGGCAGCCAUCUUGGAGGGGAGGUCCUUACAUUGACGUGGUAAACCAGAACAAUCGAAGCGAACACCAUGGAGUACUGAGGUCUUUCGUGUACCAACGAACUGAUGAAGCUAGGGAAAUUGGGUGCCCCAAAGGGACCAGGACAUUUGGGGGGAUGAGAGACGGGGUUAAGCGGCUUCCUCCUCUCCUGGCCGGGAAGCUCCUGUGUGCUAGGGUAGCUGUUCCAGGAGAUAGGCAGCAAAUGGGCUUCGGAGAAAAAUUCCAAUGCCGUUAAUGAUUCCAUUUCCUCUCCGUUCUGUGACCGAAAGUGCAAUUGGCAGGAAACUUGAACCCCCCAAGUCCCGACAGAAGCUGGAGGGCUCUGUGAUCCGUGGGUGAAAUGGUAGGGCACCCCCUAAUUUGUUCUGAGCUUCCUGAACGCUGCGGGGAAGGCACUGGAAUGGUAGUUUCCUCUGAAAUACAAAAAUAAAAUAAAGUAAAAGGUUGUGACA